GACGAACGCUGGCGGCGUGCCUAAUACAUGCAAGUUGAGCGCUGAAGGUUGGUACUUGUACCAACUGGAUGAGCAGCGAACGGGUGAGUAACGCGUGGGGAAUCUGCCUUUGAGCGGGGGACAACAUUUGGAAACGAAUGCUAAUACCGCAUAAAAACUUUAAACACAAGUUUUAAGUUUGAAAGAUGCAAUUGCAUCACUCAAAGAUGAUCCCGCGUUGUAUUAGCUAGUUGGUGAGGUAAAGGCUCACCAAGGCGAUGAUACAUAGCCGACCUGAGAGGGUGAGCGGCCACAUUGGGACUGAGACACGGCCCAAACUCCUACGGGAGGCAGCAGUAGGGAAUCGUCGGCAAUGGACGAAAGUCUGACCGAGCAACGCCGCGUGAGUGAAGAAGGUUUUCGGAUCGUAAAACUCUGUUGGUAGAGAAGAACGUGGGUGAGAGUGGAAAGCUCAUCAAGUGACGGUAACUACCCAGAAAGGGACGGCUAACUACGUG
rnacentral:rRNA from 1 species